ncrna:unclassified sequences AdoCbl variant RNA
UCGUCGAAAUGCAUGGUGGGGAAUCAGUGUGAAAUUCGCUGGCUGUUCCUGCAACCGUAUAGUCGGAGCGCCACCCGAUAA